rnacentral:rRNA from 1 species
AUGCUCCUACUCCUCCAUGCACGCCCAUGUGGCGUCCUAUCGACAACUUGCCGUCCCUACCGCGACUCGAAUGACCGGGUCUACCUAUUCCCUCGCUUAUGUGUCUGGGGCAAACCUUGCGUCUGCAUCACCUACCGCUUAGUCUAUUGCUUAUUUUCGUUUCAUAUCAGUAGCUUGUUCUCGUCUAAGUGUACGGUGUACUUCUACCUUCUGAGUAACACCACCAUAUCUAUCUGUUCGUGGAAUGUAAGAGGACUUGGUGACUUCUCAAAAUGCGCUGAUAUACUCUCCGAACUUAUCAGCAUUAGCCCCCACUGCGCCCUUCUACAGGAAUCAAAACUAAAUGGAAUUACUGAACAAAAAUUCCGGUCCUUCUUACCUCGCUCUCUCGACCAAAAAGUGUUUCUGCCGGCCGACGGCUCGGCUGGUGGAACAGUUUCGGCUUUUAACUCAAACUACUUCACAGUACUCUCUCACACACACCAUAACUUUGCCACAUCGAUCAAACUCACAUCCCUUGCGCACCCACAACCCUUCAUCAUCACUAACGUCUAUGCUCCCGUAAGCCGCAACCUCAAACAAGCAUUUCUCGAUGAGCUCAGGCUGAUCAAACAAGAUGACCACACGCCUUGGUUAAUAGUUGGAGACUUCAACCUUCUCCGGUUUUCCCACGAAAAAAAUAACCGAAACUUCUGCCAACGAGAAGCCGAUGCUUUUAACAACAUGAUCAAUGAGCUAGCCCUACUCGAACUCCCACUGCUGGACAGACGCUUCACUUGGUCCAACAAACGAUCUGCGCCAACCUUAGUAAGACUAGACCGAGCUUUCUUUAAUCUGCCGUGGAAUAAUUGCUUCCCUAACACAACCUUAUCCUCACUGCCACGUAUCACUUCCGAUCACGUCCCCCUAAUCCUACGCAUCCAAACAUGUGUGCCAAAACCGCGCCACUUUAGCUUCGAGUCUUCAUGGACUCUCGCCACAGAAUGCCAUGACAUCGUCCGAAAAUCCUGGGCCACCAACCGUCGCUCGGCCCAAUGA